rnacentral:rRNA from 1 species
ACUUAAAUUGAAGAGUUUGAUCAUGGCUCAGAUUGAACGCUGGCGGCAGGCCUAACACAGGCCAGUCGGGCGGUAGCACAGAGAGCUUGCUGGCGGGUGACGAGCGGCGGACGGGUGA